UCUUCUGCAGUUUCCACAGUAUGCAUCCGAUGAAGUGAGCUGUAGCUCACGAAAGCUUAUGCUCAAAUAAAUUGGUUAGUCUCUAAGGUGCCACAAGUACUCCUUUUCUUUUUGCUAUUUAUGGAGCAUUCUUAUGGAUUAUUUUGACAUUUCCAGAUCUUAGCGUACAUGGAGAUGGGAGACAUGCUGUGAUUUCUCCCCCCCCCCCCCCCCCCCCCCCCCCCAGCGGUGAUUUCUGCACUUAAAUAUCUGUAGCUAGGGAAUUGAAGAUACUGGAAACAGAGAAUGGCAUAUAAUUUAUAUUGGUAAACCCUUUGGUUUUGUCCCUGUUCUCUCUCUCUCUCUCUCUCUCUCUCUCUCUCCCCCCCUCCCCCUCCCUCCCUCCCUCUCUCUCUCCCCCUCCCCCUCCCCCUCCCUGCCCCUCCCCCCACUGGAAGAUGUACAGAAAGUGUAAAACAUUCCAUUAACACCUCCCCACCCCUGCUAUAUUAAAAGAUUAUUAAGUUGCAAAUGGAAUCUCUAAUGGUGUAGAAAGCCAAAGUUAAGGUGCCUGAACAACUUCACUCCACCCCUGGUGCAUAUGCAUUAUGAUGGGCUCAGAUUACAUGAUCACAUAGCAGCUUUUUAAUAUUUAUAGUAUCCUCAUUGUUCAGUGUGUGGGCCAUAUUCUUAAUGCAUUGCUUGCCGUGCAACCCUUGGACUGAAUGAGGUGGAGUCUGUAGGUCCCUGUCUCUUUAACAACAUGUUAUCUGUCCCAGGCUAAGCUGAGUCUGUAAAGCAUGAAUUCCACAAGCUCUUUCUUGUGCCACUAACAAAAAUCUGUUAUGAAGGCGGCAGUUGUCUGGGGCCUGUCUCUUUCAAUGUCCAAUCUGCACACUGGGUCAUGUAGAGGAAAAUAAGUGUUCAUAUAAUUAAAAGUUGCAUCAUAAGGGCAUAAGAGGGCAGUAUUAAGAUUAUGCAGACAUUAAAUUUGGCAUUUCCAGCCUUUGGCGUGCUUUAUUUUGCAAUAUUAAUGUUCCUUUGAUGUAGUUUUUGGGAUGGAAUGUCCCACGUUUGCUUUUUUAAAAAAACCUCUAAAACAAUGACAUAAUAUGCAAUUAUUUGCUAGCCACAAGUUAAAUGCACUUUCCUGUACAAUCUGGGCACACAGUACAAUGAAAUCAGCAUUCUUUUGGAGCCCUGGCUACUUCAACACAUUCAGACCAUACUUUAAAAGCCUGUACCUUUUUAAAAAAUGAGAACUCAGUUUUCUUACUUAUAUACUAGCAGCUGAAAAGCUGGGUUGUUUCACAAGUGUAAUUUGUAAAUUAAAAAUGACUGAGAACUCAAA